UACGAGGGGGGCGAGCGUUGUUCGGAAUUAUUGGGCGUAAAGGGUGCGUAGGCGGUUUGGUAAGUCUUAUGUGAAAUCUACAGGCUCAACUUGUAGUCUGCAUGAGAAACUGCCGGGCUUGAGUAUGGGAGAGGUGAGUGGAAUUCCUGGUGUAGCGGUGAAAUGCGCAGAUAUCAGGAAGAACACCCGUGGCUAAGGCGGCUCUCUAGUACGGUACUGACGCUGAGACGCGAAAGCGUGGGGAGCGAACAGG
rnacentral:rRNA from 1 species